rnacentral:rRNA from 1 species
UACGUAGGGGGCAAGCGUUUGUCCGGAAUCAUUGGGCGUAAAGAGCGUGUAGGCGGCUCGAUAAGUCUGCUGUGAAAGUCCAGGGCUCAACCCUGGAAGGCCGGUGGAAACUGUCGGGCUAGAGUCCGGAAGAGGCGAGUGGAAUUCCCGGUGUAGCGGUGAAAUGCGCAGAUAUCGGGAGGAACACCAAUGGCGAAGGCAGCUCGCUGGGACGGUACUGACGCUCAUGCACGAAAGCGUGGGGAGCAAACAGG